CUACUAGGGUUUCUAAUCCUGUUUGCUACCCACGCUUUCGAGCCUCAGCGUCAGUUUUGGUCCAGCAGGCCGCCUUCGCCACCGGUGUUCUUCCUAAUAUCUAAGCAUUUCACCGCUACACUAGGAAUUCCGCCUGCCUCUCCCAUACUCAAGUUUAACAGUUUUGGGAGCAGUCAAGGGGUUGAGCCCCCUGCUUCCACUCUCAACUUGCCAAACCGCCUGCGCUCCCUUUACACCCAGUAAAUCCGGAUAACGCUUGCCCCCUACGUAUUACCGCGGCUGCUGGCAC
rnacentral:rRNA from 1 species